rnacentral:rRNA from 1 species
AUUGAACGCUGGCGGCAUGCCUUACACAUGCAAGUCGAACGGUAACAGGUCUUCGGAUGCUGACGAGUGGCGAACGGGUGAGUAAUACAUCGGAACGUGCCUAGUAGUGGGGGAUAACUACUCGAAAGAGUGGCUAAUACCGCACGAGAUCUACGGAUGAAAGCAGGGGGUCGCAAGACCUUGUGCUACUAGAGCGGCCGAUGGCAGAUUAGGUAUUUGGUGGGAUAAAAGCUUACCAAGCCGACGAUCUGUAGCUGGUCUGAGAGGACGAUCAGCCACACUGGGACUGAGACACGGCCCAGACUCCUACGGGAGGCAGCAGUGGGGAAUUUUGGACAAUGGGCGAAAGCCUGAUCCAGCAAUGCCGCGUGCAGGAUGAAGGCCUUCGGGUUGUAAACUGCUUUUGUACGGAACGAAAAGGCUCUGGUUAAUACCUGGGGCUCAUGACGGUACCGUAAGAAUAAGCACCGGCUAACUACGUGCCAGCCGCCGCUGUAACAC